rnacentral:rRNA from 1 species
AGCAGCCGCGGUAAUUCCAGCUCCAAUAGCGUAUAUUAAAGUUGUUGCAGUUAAAAGCUCGUAGUUGAAUUUCGGGAUCAAUAUAUCGGUCGUGCCUCCGGUAUGCACUGGUAUUAUUGAUUUCUACCUUCUGACGAACUGUGAUGUCAUUAAUUUGGUGUCAUGGGGAAUCAGGACUGUUACUUUGAAAAAUUGAGUGUUUAAAGCAGGCACACGCUUGAAUACAUUAGCAUGGAAUAAUGAAAUAGGACGUUUGACCCUAUUUUGUUGGUUUCUAGGAUCGACGUAAUGAUUAAUAGGGAUAGUUGGGGGCAUUAGUAUUCAAUUGUCAGAGGUGAAAUUCUUGGAUUUAUUGAAGACUAACUACUGCGAAAGCAUUUGCCAAGGAUGUUUUCAUUAAUCAAGAACGAAAGUUAGGGGAUCGAAGACGAUCAGAUACCGUCGUAGUCU